UACGUAGGUGACAAGCGUUGUCCGGAAUUAUUGGGCGUAAAGAGCUCGUAGGCGGUGUGUCACGUCGAUCGUGAAAACUUGGGGCUUAACUCUGAGCUUGCGGUCGAUACGGGCAUCACUGGAGUUCGGCAGGGGAGACUGGAAUUCCGUGGUGUAGCGGUGAAAUGCGCAGAUAUCAGGAGGAACACCGGUGGCGGAAGG
rnacentral:rRNA from 1 species